CCCGUUCUCGCGUACCGGCGGCACCUGUCCGCUGUGGACGGUCUACGAGGCGUUCGGCGCGCCGGGGCGGGU
rnacentral:tRNA from 1 species